rnacentral:rRNA from 1 species
AAUCAACGCUGGCGGCGUGCCUCAGACAUGCAAGUCGAACGAUUAAAGCUCUCUUCGGAGAGUGCAUAGAGUGGCGCACGGGUGAGUAACACGUAAGUAAUCUACCUUCGAGUGGGGAAUAACGUCCGGAAACGGACGCUAAUACCGCAUAAUGCAGCGGCAUCGCAAGAUGACAGUUGUUAAAGAUUUAUCGCUUGAAGAGGAGCUUGCGGCAGAUUAGCUAGUUGGUAAGGUAAUGGCUUACCAAGGCUACGAUCUGUAACCGGUCUUAGAGGACGGUCGGUCACACUGACACUGAAUAACGGGUCAGACUCCUACGGGAGGCAGCAGUCGGGAAUGUUGGGCAAUGGGCGAAAGCCUGACCCAGCAACGCCGCGUGAAGGAUGAAGUAUUUCGGUAUGUAAACUUCGAAAGAAUGGGAAGAAUAAAUGACGGUACCAUUUAUAAGGUCCGGCUAACUACGUGCCAGCCGCCGCUGUAAAAC